AAACCCUAGAUUUCCAUUUGUUCAUCCUUCUUCUCCUUCAAGCUCUGUAAUCCAUCAACCUCUGCAAUCGAAUCGAUUCAACCAUCAGAUUUAAAGCAGAAUAAUGUGGGACAGAAAGAAAGAAGAAACCGGGGAGUCUUAGGUAAUAUCGGCAAUCUUGCUCCAACCAUUGUUGUCGAAACUGGAAAACCGACUCAUAUAUGUCGCCCCAUCACAAGAAAUUAUUGUGCCCAAUUGGCUGCAAAUGCACAAGGAGCAGCAGGCAAGAAUGUUAAGGUAGCAAAGGAUGAAGGGUUUGAGCUGCCAUACAGUUAUGAAGAAGCUUCUCAAAGAACCUAAAUUCUCAUUCUACCCUUUGACUAUUAAUUCCAUGCUCUGGCGUUGGAAGCCAUGUUCCAGCUUAGCAGUGAUACGAUCUUAGAUCUACAGGCGACUGAAUAGGCUAAUAAUGUGAUGCUAAAGGCCUAGAAGAAACACGAACUCGGUUUUUCCGUUCCCAAAUAAUCACGAGGAAAGAAAAACCGUAUUCGAAAGAAAGUGUCGAAGACGGGAGGAUAUCCAAACAAUCUGCAAUUUUUACGGAACCAAUUGUGCGACCAAAGAUGUUCGACGGCGUGUUACUUUGCGUUGAAGGCUAUAGCUGGUAUGUGUCGUUCAAUGACAUGUCUGACGUAGGUAAGGGUCGCGGUAAAAAAGGUGUAAACAAGGAUGUGGUGGAGUUGCGAAUGCUCUUGACGCUUUGUGCACAAGCCGUUGCGG
rnacentral:lncRNA from 1 species